rnacentral:rRNA from 1 species
AACGAACGCUGGCGGCAUGGAUUAGGCAUGCAAGUCGAACGCUCAUCUUCGGAUGGGAGUGGCGGAAGGGUGAGGAACGCGUGAGUAAUCUGCCCCCAAGUUGGGAAUAACAGUUGGAAACGACUGCUAAAACCGAAUGUGGCUGAAAGGACGCAUGUUUUUUCGGCUAAAGAUUUAUCGCUUGGGGAUGAGCUCGCGUCCCAUUAGCUAGUUGGUGAGGUAACGGCUCACCAAGGCGACGAUGGGUAGCUGGUCUGAGAGGAUGGUCAGCCACACUGGGACUGAGACACUGCCCAGACUCCUACGGGAGGCUGCAGUCGAGAAUCUUGGGCAAUGCGCGAAAGCGUGACCCAGCAAUGCCGCGUGCGGGA